GCCUGCACGGACAGCUGGUCUCUGUGCUGCCGUCAGUCCGACUGGACAGCGCUGCGCUCAAAUCGGCCGCCCUGCCGACAGUGUCGGAGGUGCCCGUCCGACUCACCAGACCUUCAGCGGCCGCAGCCGGCUCCCAGCUGCGCUCGCCGAGCCAGACGCAGCAGGUGAUGUCGCCGUCGGUCGUGGUGCGCGACUGUGCGCCCAUCCCGCGUCCAACGCCUCCCCCCCCCUCCACAACGCGCGCUGUAGCGCCUGCCGAGCGCCGGCUGCUGCCGGGCCCGCCGUCGUACUUUUAUGGCCUUGCGCCGUCAGUCGCCAGCUGGUGGUGGCGACCCGUGAUCGCUCGCGUACGUUCGCCGGCGCGCCCAUUGCAGAGAAGGGGUUCGCGCAUGCCCAUUAUAGAGGGGCGCCCUUGCGGAGGCGGUACGCGCUACGCUGUAGACACUACUGCUUGUACCUGGUUGGGUAGCUCCUUUGCACAUUGUUUGUUCAUGGAUGUAAAUACAAGUUACAUGACUGAUGA